AUGGACGGCGGCCGCGACCGCAUCGGUGUCAUCGGUGCUCGGCGACGACGACCUCUUCCGCGAGAUCCUCCUCCGCCUCGGCUUCCCCAAUUGCCUCGUCCGCGCCUCCCUCGUCUCCAAGCGGUGGCUCUUCCACGCGUCCGACCCGGCCUUCCUCCGCCUCUUCCGCGAGCGCCACCCACCCCGCCUCCUCGGCUUCUGCGUCAGCAACGACGACCGGUACCAGUUGGUGCAGCUCGAGCAGUCCCCGGAGCUUGCCGCUCUCUCACGCCGUGUGGCCUCCUCCUGCAACGACGCCUUCCGCUGCCGUGGGCUGGGUAUCGGACACAGCCGGAACGGCCGCCUCGUCACUACGCUCUUCCACGGCGGUCAAGCGCUCCCUCCUCGCGCCGCAGCUCUCCGAGGAGUCCGAGUUGGCCCUCCCAGUCCGGCGGAAGUGUACGUGCUGAGAUCCGGUGGUUGGGGCUUCCCUGCCACCGCAAUGACAGACGUCCCGAAUCCUACAGCCUUCCUUACAAAAAUGCUUCCACCCGUCCGUGGCAAGGUUUUCAUGGUGACAAGCUUUGGGUGCAUCCUGGGUCUAGAUUUGGCUGCGGCAAGGUUCCUCAAGCUCGAGCUCCCAGCUGA
rnacentral:rRNA from 1 species